rnacentral:rRNA from 1 species
GACGAACGCUGGCGGCGUGCUUAACACAUGCAAGUCGAGCGGUAAGGCCCUUUCGGGGGUACGACGAGCGGCGAACGGGUGAGUAACACGUGGGUGACCUGCCCUCCAGCUCUGGGAGUAAGCCUGGGAAACCGGGUCUAAUACCGGAUAUGACUCCAUGACGCAUGUUGUGGGGUGGAAAGCCUUGUGCGGCUGAGGAUGGGCCCGCGGCCUAUCAGCUUGUUGGUGGGGUGAUGGCCUACCAAGGCGACGACGGGUAGCCGGCCUGAGAGGGCGACCGGCCACACUGGGACUGAGACACGGCCCAGACUCCUACGGGAGGCAGCAGUGGGGAAUCUUGCGCAAUGGGCGAAAGCCUGACGCAGCGACGCCGCGUGAGGGAUGACGGCCUGGUGUAAC